UGGUGUUCAUACGGUUUUACUUUUCACUUUACCCUUUCGUCCUCGACAUGUCCUUUAUUAGUGGAAAUCAAUUUUACUUUAAACAGUACUAUCGUCUGUCACAAAAGGAAAUGACCAAGGUCUUUGGAACAGAUAAUUUUGGCAGCACUGUUCCCAAAUCCCAAAGGAAUAUCUUGAUUCGAAAGUGGAGAAUCUUAGGUAGAUAGAUCAUGAUAAGCCUUUCUCAUCCAGAGAAGAAAACGGGUGGACAGACUAGUAGGACGUACGGGAAUGCAGGUACCAGUCACGGAAAUGGAGCUCUCCUGGACCAUUAUUUAUGUUGCUUUCUUUAUUUUCUUUUGCAGGUUAUGGGAAGAAAAGAGCGGCUAAUAAGCCAUGCUUGAAAUCCUUCCAUUUUGCCACUUGGAUAUUUGGUCAUACGACCAUUGUCUCAUUGAUACAUGCUAUGUAUUGCUAAUAAGCUGGAUCAGUGGGGUGUGGGCACACUACUUGCAUGGGCGCCACUGCGAGAUCUCUCGUAGUUGACCGAUGGGAGUCAACACGUUGUUGCCUAGAUUUGGAGCUCUUGUCAACGCACUAGGUACGGUUGACAGAUCAAGGCAGCAAGUCGUGAGUCAACGUCCACUCGUCCAGUUGAUCCAUUGACUACUGUCCGGGGACAACGUAAGGCCAAUAACUGAUUAGUGUUGGAAGAGACUGUAAGGACAGGUGCUCGAUCGUUUCGGUCAAGUGACAAAGGAAGGAGGGUCAACCAUUGUGCAUAACAAACUUUACUCUUGAAAGGAGGUUGAAAUCUCCGGUCUCUACAUCAAAAAGAUGCACACAUCCAUGAAACAGUACUUGUAUUGAUGUGACCGCUGGCUAUGUGGCAAAACCACGUGGAAACGACGCCAAGCGCGUGUAACUAAGGGUCUGUUUGGUUAGAUACCUGAGCUACGUGCCUGACAAAAUGGUGUGCCUGAGAGUAGCCUGUGAAUUUGAUAAUUCUUGCCUGGCCAGGCAUGGACCAAAAUUGUUGUUUGGUUUGAGCUACUCUGAAGCCGGUGCCUGAUGGAAAACGUAAACGAUUGGAACACGCAUUCAAUGUUGAGAAAACGUAAAGAACUGAAAUACGCUUUGUUCAUCUCUCUUCUAGUCCCAAAUCUACUCUGUUCCAUGAGUUCCCUGUGAGUCUGUGACACUCCCCAAGUUCUUCUGAACCACCUAAUCUAGUUCUCCUAACAGAAACCAUGAGCACAAGUGUCCAAUUGAAGCUACAGCAACCCGUAACAAACCAUGACCACACGAGAUCCAGAUCCAACUAUGAAC